rnacentral:rRNA from 1 species
AUAGUUUGAUCCUGGCUCAGAACGAACGCUGGCGGCAGGCUUAACACAUGCAAGUCGAGCGGGCCCUUCGGGGUCAGCGGCAGACGGGUGAGUAACGCGUGGGAAUCUACCCAUCCCUACGGAACAACUCCGGGAAACUGGAGCUAAUACCGUAUACGCCCUUCGGGGGAAAGAUUUAUCGGGGAUGGAUGAGCCCGCGUUGGAUUAGCUAGUUGGUGGGGUAAAGGCCUACCAAGGCGACGAUCCAUAGCUGGUCUGAGAGGAUGAUCAGCCACAUUGGGACUGAGACACGGCCCAAACUCCUACGGGAGGCAGCAGUGGGGAAUAUUGGACAAUGGGCGCAAGCCUGAUCCAGCCAUGCCGCGUGAGUGAUGAAGGCCCUAGGGUUGUAAAGCUCUUUCAACGGUGAANAUAAUGACGGUAGCCGUAAAANAAGCCCCGGCUAACUUCGUGCUAGCCGCCGCGGUAAUUC